AAAACAAACUGGAGGCUAAUUGGAUUGUUCUUUAACCAAUUGGGGAAGUAGAGGUGUAAGUGUUUAACAAUGGUGCCUCUCAAACAUUUGAAGAAGGAAAAUCCAAUCAUCGACGCAUGUUUUAGGAUCUACACUACAUCGUUAUAAACAUACUCUCUCCACUUGAGGCAAAGGGACGGAUUCAUUGCUUCAAGGUGGAUUCCGUGAGGGUUAGUUUACAGAACUUGUAAGAUGAACUUCGUGUUCUAGUAAAACACAAGUAUGUCCCUGUUAGGCAUUUCUUUAUCCAUGUCUUGUGUGGGGAAAAA